UUCCGCGUGAGUGAAGAAGGCCUUCGGGUUGUAAAGCUCUUUCGCAAGAGAAGAAAACUUGCUAUCUAAUAAAUAGUAAGCAUGACGGUAUCUUGACAAGAAGCACCGGCUAACUACGUGCCAGCAGCCGCGGUAAUACGUAGGGUGCAAGCGUUAAUCGGAAUUACUGGGCGUAAAGCGUGCGCAGGCAGUUUUAUAAGUCAGAUGUGAAAUCCCCGAGCUCAACUUGGGAACUGCGUUUGAAACUGUAAGACUAGAGUGUGUCAGAGGGGGGUAGAAUUCCAAGUGUAGCAGUGAAAUGCGUAGAGAUUUGGAGGAAUACCAAUGGCGAAGGCAGCCCCCUGGGAUAACACUGACGCUCAUGCACGAAAGCGUGGGGAGCAAACAGGAUUAGAUACCCUGGUAGUCCACGCCCUAAACGAUGUCUACUAGUUGUUGGUGGAGUAAAAUCCAUGAGUAACGCAGCUAACGCGUGAAGUAGACCGCCUGGGGAGUACGGUCGCAAGAUUAAAACUCAAAUGAAUUGACGGGGGCCCGCACAAGCGGUGGAUUAUGUGGAUUAAUUCGAUGCAACGCGAAAAACCUUACCUGGCCUUGACAUGUACCGAAUUUAGCAGAGAUGCUUUAGUGCUCGAAAGAGAACGGUAACACAGGUGCUGCAUGGCUGUCGUCA
rnacentral:rRNA from 1 species